rnacentral:rRNA from 1 species
CAGCGACGCCGCGUGGGGGAGGAAGGCUCAGGGUUGUAAACCCCUGUCAGGUGGGACGAACCACGGAUCGGUUAAUACCCGGUCCGCUUGACGGUACCACCAGAGGAAGCUCCGGCUAACUCCGUGCCAGCAGCCGCGGUAAUACGGAGGGAGCAAGCGUUGUUCGGAAUCACUGGGCGUAAAGGGCGCGUAGGCGGUCGGGUAAGUCGGGUGUGAAAUUCCGGGGCUCAACCCCGCGAACUGCAUCCGAUACUGCUCGACUAGAGAGAGGUAGGGGCGAGUGGAAUUCCCGGUGUAGCGGUGGAAUGCGUAGAUAUCGGGAAAGAACACCGGUGGCGAAGCGGCUCGCUGGGCCUUUUCUGACGCUGAACGCGAAAGCGUGGGGACAAACAGGAUUAGAUACCUGGUAUCCACGCCGUAAACGAUGGGUACUAGUGUUGGGANGAUUGACC